UCCGCACACUAUUAAAGCUCAGGGUGGAGGCCAGCCUUGGCCAGUGACCUUCUGAGUGUCGGAAGUGUGCCAUAUGAAUUGCAGGGUUUUCGCUGACACCAGUAGAGCUUGCCUCUAUGACUGGAGUUUGAUAGUACUCACUGCCACAUUC
rnacentral:snoRNA from 1 species